rnacentral:rRNA from 1 species
UCUGUAGCAAGGUUAACCGAAUAGGGGAGCCGGAGGGAAACCGAGUCUUAAUUGGGCGUUAAGUUGCAGGGUAUAGACCCGAAACCCGGUGAUCUAGCCAUGGGCAGGUUGAAGGUUGGGUAACACUAACUGGAGGACCGAACCGACUAAUGUUGAAAAAUUAGCGGAUGACCUGUGGCUGGGGGUGAAAGGCCAAUCAAACCGGGAGAUAGCUGGUUCUCCCCGAAAGCUAUUUAGGUAGCGCCUCGUGAAUUCAUCUCCGGGGGUAGAGCACUGUUUCGGCUAGGGGGCCAUCCCGGCUUACCAACCCGAUGCAAACUGCGAAUACCGGAGAAUGUUAUCACGGGAGACACACGGCGGGUGCUAACGUCCGUCGUGAAGAGGGAAACAACCCAGACCGCCAGCUAAGGUCCCAAAGUCAUGGUUAAGUGGGAAACGAUGUGGGAAGGCCCAGACAGCCAGGAUGUUGGCUUAGAAGCAGCCAUCAUUUAAAGAAAGCGUAAUAGCUCACUGGUCGAGUCGGCCUGCGCGGAAGAUGUAACGGGGCUAAACCAUGCACCGAAGCUGCGGCAGCGACGCUGAUGCGUUGUUGGGUAGGGGAGCGUUCUGUAAGCCUGCGAAGGUGGCCUGUGAGGGUUGCUGGAGGUAUCAGAAGUGCGAAUGCUGACAUAAGUAACGAUAAAGCGGGUGAAAAGCCCGCUCGCCGGAAGACCAAGGGUUCCUGUCCAACGUUAAUCGGGGCAGGGUGAGUCGACCCCUAAGGCGAGGCCGAAAGGCGUAGUCGAUGGGAAACGGGUUAAUAUUCCCGUACUUGGUGUUACUGCGAAGGGGGGACGGAGAAGGCUAUGUUGGCCGGGCGACGGUU